CCUACGGGAGGCAGCAGUGAGGAAUAUUGGUCAAUGGACGAGAGUCUGAACCAGCCAAGUCGCGUGAAGGAUGACUGCCCUAUGGGUUGUAAACUUCUUUUAUAAAGGAGUAAAACGAGUCACGUGUGCCUGUUUGAAUGUACUGUAUGAAUAAGGAUCGGCUAACUCCGUGCCAGCAGCCGCGGUAAUACGGAGGAUCCGAGCGUUAUCCGGAUUUAUUGGGUUUAAAGGGAGCGUAGCUGGGUUGUUAAGUCAGAUGUGAAAGUUCGCGGCUCAACCGUAAAAUUGCAAUUGAUACUGGCAGUCUUGAGUACAGUUGAGGUAGGCGGAAAUCGUGGUGGAGCGGUGAAAUGCUU
rnacentral:rRNA from 1 species